rnacentral:rRNA from 1 species
GGGUUGUGAGGUUAAGCGACUAAGCGUACACGGUGGAUGCCCUGGCAGUCAGAGGCGAUGAAGGACGUGCUAAUCUGCGAAAAGCGCCGGCGAGGUGAUAUGAACCUUUGACCCGGCGAUGUCCGAAUGGGGAAACCCAGUGCAAUUCGUUGCACUAUCGUUAACUGAAUACAUAGGUUAACGAGGCGAACCGGGGGAACUGAAACAUCUAAGUACCCCGAGGAAAAGAAAUCAACCGAGAUUCCCCCAGUAGCGGCGAGCGAACGGGGAGCAGCCCGGAGUCUGAAUCAGCUUGUGUGUUAGUGGAACGGUCUGGAAAGUCCGACGGUACAGGGUGAUAGUCCCGUACACGAAAAUGCACAGGUUGUGAACUCGAAGAGUAGGGCGGGACACGUGGUAUCCUGUCUGAAUAUGGGGGGACCAUCCUCCAAGGCUAAAUACUCCUGACUGACCGAUAGUGAACCAGUACCGUGAGGGAAAGGCGAAAAGAACCCCGGCGAGGGGAGUGAAAAAGAACCUGAAACCGUGUACGUACAAGCAGUGGGAGCCUCUUUAUGGGGUGACUGCGUACCUUUUGUAUAAUGGGUCAGCGACUUAUAUUCUGUAGCAAGGUUAACCGUAUAGGGGAGCCGAAGGGAAACCGAGUCUUAACUGGGCGUUAAGUUGCAGGGUAUAGACCCGAAACCCGGUGAUCUAGCCAUGGGCAGGUUGAAGGUUGGGUAACACUAACUGGAGGACCGAACCGACUAAUGUUGAAAAAUUAGCGGAUGACCUGUGGCUGGGGGUGAAAGGCCAAUCAAACCGGGAGAUAGCUGGUUCUCCCCGAAAGCUAUUUAGGUAGCGCCUCGUGAAUUCAUCUUCGGGGGUAGAGCACUGUUUCGGCUAGGGGGCCAUCCCGGCUUACCAACCCGAUGCAAACUACGAAUACCGAAGAAUGUUAUCACGGGAGACACACGGCGGGUGCUAACGUCCGUCGUGAAGAGGGAAACAACCCAGACCGCCAGCUAAGGUCCCAAAGUCAUGGUUAAGUGGGAAACGAUGUGGGAAGGCACAGACAGCCAGGAUGUUGGCUUAGAAGCAGCCAUCAUUUAAAGAAAGCGUAAUAGCUCACUGGUCGAGUCGGCCUGCGCGGAAGAUGUAACGGGGCUAAACCAUGCACCGAAGCUGCGGCAGCGACGCUUAUGCGUUGUUGGGUAGGGGAGCGUUCUGUAAGCCGUUGAAGGUGUCCUGUGAGGGGUGCUGGAGGUAUCAGAAGUGCGAAUGCUGACAUAAGUAACGAUAAAGCGGGUGAAAAGCCCGCUCGCCGGAAGACCAAGGGUUCCUGUCCAACGUUAAUCGGGGCAGGGUGAGUCGACCCCUAAGGCGAGGCCGAAAGGCGUAGUCGAUGGGAAACAGGUUAAUAUUCCUGUACUUGGUGUUACUGCGAAGGGGGGACGGAGAAGGCUAUGUCAGCCGGGCGACGGUUGUCCCGGUUUAAGCAUGUAGGCGGAGGUUCCAGGUAAAUCCGGUACCUUAUUAACGCUGAGGUGUGAUGACGAGGCACUACGGUGCUGAAGUGAUAAAUGCCCUGCUUCCAGGAAAAGCCUCUAAGCAUCAGGUAACACGAAAUCGUACCCCAAACCGACACAGGUGGUCAGGUAGAGAAUACCAAGGCGCUUGAGAGAACUCGGGUGAAGGAACUAGGCAAAAUGGUGCCGUAACUUCGGGAGAAGGCACGCUGAUAUGUAGGUGAAGUCCCUGCGGACGGAGCUGAAAUCAGUCGAAGAUACCAGCUGGCUGCAACUGUUUAUUAAAAACACAGCACUGUGCAAACACGAAAGUGGACGUAUACGGUGUGACGCCUGCCCGGUGCCGGAAGGUUAAUUGAUGGGGUUAGCGGCAACGCGAAGCUCUUGAUCGAAGCCCCGGUAAACGGCGGCCGUAACUAUAACGGUCCUAAGGUAGCGAAAUUCCUUGUCGGGUAAGUUCCGACCUGCACGAAUGGCGUAAUGAUGGCCAGGCUGUCUCCACCCGAGACUCAGUGAAAUUGAACUCGCUGUGAAGAUGCAGUGUACCCGCGGCAAGACGGAAAGACCCCGUGAACCUUUACUAUAGCUUGACACUGAACACUGGUCCUUGAUGUGUAGGAUAGGUGGGAGGCUUUGAAGCGUGGACGCCAGUCUGCGUGGAGCCAACCUUGAAAUACCACCCUUUAAUGGCUGGUGUUCUAACGUAGACCCGUAAUCCGGGUUGCGGACAGUGUCUGGUGGGUAGUUUGACUGGGGCGGUCUCCUCCCAAAGAGUAACGGAGGAGCACGAAGGUUGGCUAAUCCUGGUCGGACAUCAGGAGGUUAGUGCAAUGGCAUAAGCCAGCUUGACUGCGAGCGUGACGGCGCGAGCAGGUGCGAAAGCAGGUCAUAGUGAUCCGGUGGUUCUGAAUGGAAGGGCCAUCGCUCAACGGAUAAAAGGUACUCCGGGGAUAACAGGCUGAUACCGCCCAAGAGUUCAUAUCGACGGCGGUGUUUGGCACCUCGAUGUCGGCUCAUCACAUCCUGGGGCUGAAGUAGGUCCCAAGGGUAUGGCUGUUCGCCAUUUAAAGUGGUACGCGAGCUGGGUUUAGAACGUCGUGAGACAGUUCGGUCCCUAUCUGCCGUGGGCGCUGGAGAAUUGAGGGGGGCUGCUCCUAGUACGAGAGGACCGGAGUGGACGCAUCACUGGUGUUCGGGUUGUCAUGCCAAUGGCACUGCCCGGUAGCUAAAUGCGGAAGAGAUAAGUGCUGAAAGCAUCUAAGCACGAAACUUGCCCCGAGAUGAGUUCUCCCUGAGACUUUAAGUCUCCUGAAGGAACGUUGAAGACGACGACGUUGAUAGGUCGGGUGUGUAAGCGCAGCGAUGCGUUGAGCUAACCGAUACUAAUGAACCGUGAGGCUUAACCUUACAACGCCGAAGCUGUU